CAAGUACUCCCUCCGUCCAAAAAUACUUGUCAUCAAAAUGGAUAAAAAAGAUGUAUCUAGAACUAAUAUACAUCUAGAUACAUCCCCUUUUAUUCAUUUUGAUGACAAGUAUUUACGGACGGAGGGAGUACUAC
rnacentral:pre_miRNA from 1 species